GACGAACGCUGGCGGCGUGCUUAACACAUGCAAGUCGUGCGGAAAGGCCUUUUCGAAGGUGCUCGAGCGGCGAACGGGUGAGUAACACGUGAGUAACCUGCCCUGCGCUGGGGGGAUAACCCUCGGAAACGGGGCUAAUACCGGAUGGUCACAUUUUGCCGCAUGGUGGGGUGGUGGAAAGGGCUUCGGUUUGGCGUGGGAUGGGCUCGCGGCCUAUCAGC
rnacentral:rRNA from 1 species